CCAAGCAAAACGCUCUUGAAGUUUGACCCCCCGAAACUAAGCGAGCUACUCCAAAGCAGCCUCACAGGGCCACCCCGUCUCUGUAGCAAAAGAGUGGAAAGACUUUAGAGUAGAAGUGACACACCUACCGAGCUUAGAGAUAGCUGGUUAUUCAAGAAAGGGAUUUUAGUCCACCUCUAAGUUUUCCAAGUACUAUUAAACACCCAAUAAACUUAGAAGCCAUUCAAAUAAGGUACAGCCUGUUUGAAAAAGGAGACAGCCUACAAUACAGGGUAACGACCUACACACGUGACUAAGUCAGCCUAAGAGCAGCUAACUUCUAAAAAGCGUCCAAGCUUCAUCACAACUCCUAACCAAUCCCACAGUCGACUCGCAACCCCCAACCACUACUGAAUACUCCCAUACCCCUAUGGGAAAUAUAAUGCUAGAACUAGUAACAAGAAGAAGACCUUCUCCAAAAUGUAAGUAUAAGCCAAAAUGAACCCUCGCCGGCGUCUACCGCCAAAAGCCUCAGUAUCAACACCACAAGAAAAUCAUACUCCCACUGGCGUUAACCUUACACUAGAACAUUCCCGGAAA
rnacentral:rRNA from 1 species